rfam:Brachypodium distachyon strain Bd21 chromosome 3, whole genome shotgun sequence.
UUGCUACUCCCUCCGAUCCAUAUUACUUGUCUCAAAUUUGAUCAAAUAUGAAUGUAUCUAUGUUUAAAAAGUGACUAGAUAAAUGUAAUAUUUCGACAAGUAAUAUGGGUCGGAGGGAGUAGCUA